rnacentral:lncRNA from 1 species
GAUAUCCCUGAGAGAUUUUUAAAAUUCUUAUUUUAAAAAGCCGAAGGCUUACCGCCUUUUAAGAGUGAGAGAUUUGAAGAAACAAAAGUUCCGACAGCGCUCCAAAUACUAUUAACCCUGAGAGGUCCCUGGGGAAUUGGGCGGGGGGCGACGAAAACGGUUUUCGGGACUUUGACGCUCUCGUGAUCCACCGAUCACGACGCGACUUACCUCAUUCGACGUAGAAUGAGUUUUUACAUAUGAAAUGACUAAAUUUUACAACAAUUAACAUAAUGAACGAGAGAUUGGGAGCAAAAAGGGGGAAAAAGAGGGGAAACUUCUAAAAUAUAGGAAAAAAAUGUCUUCUAAAUUUAGAAGAUGCAACCACCUCUAAAUGAAAGAAGAACUUUCCGUUUAACCAAAAAGACUGAAAUUGCAUUUCUUAUUUUGUGGUUCGCGAGAUAUCUGCGAAAGAAAAAGACACCCAGAUUGACUUUGAGUUGAUUGUGUGUUGACUAGCAGACGACGGUAAUUUGCAACAGUCAGUCUGCUUGUUGUGGGCUAUGGCAUGGCCUACUGUGGGUAUUUAAAUUUGAUCGUAUGAAUGUUUGUGAUUGAUUUCAUCUUGUGAAGCACUGUGUUUAUCUUUCAAAUUUUAACUAUUGCAGGAUUAAAAUAAGGAAAGAAAAACAUGCAUCUUGUGUCACAACUGAUGGUUCAUUUACCUAUCAAAUCGGUACCAGAUUGGCAGAUGGUUCACAUGUAGGUGCUGAAUCAACUGGAAAAUGUUCAAAAAAAUGGAAUUGAAAAUUACAUUUAUCAUCAGACAUACCUCCAUUUCAGAAAAUUUUGUCGUAAAGAUGACGACAAGUUGCCAGUUGAUUUACAUGUCACCCUUAGUGAUAUGAUGAUGAGGACACUAUACUUUAUUCGGCAUCCAAAAAAGCUUUCCCUUCUGACUUUUCCUCAUUUACAAGACCUUGAUGAUGUAAUGGUGCUAGGCGAACAUUUUAUCAACACAGAGUAACUAAAGCUGCAACUGUGGAAAAUGGAAUUGACAAUUAUAUUCAUCCUCACACUUUUCAGUUUUAGAAAGUUUUGUCUUGAAGAUGACAAAAGUUGCCAGUCGAUUUACAUGUCACCAUAAGUGAUAUCAUAGCAGCCAACAAAUUAUUUGCAGAUUACAUUUAUCAUCAGACAUCGCUCUCUUUCAGUAAAUUAUGUCUUGAAGAUGACGACAAGUUGCCAGUUGAUUUACAUGUCACCCUUACUGAUAUCCUACCACACUAUACUUUAUUGGGCAUCCAAAAAAACUUUCCCUUCUGGCUUUCCUUCAUUUAAAAGGCCUUGAUGAUGUAAUGGUGCUAGGCGAAAACUUUAUCAACAGAGAGAAAUUAAAGCUGCAACUGUUGAAAAUGGAAUUGACAAUUACAUUCAUCAUCAGACACAUUUCAGUUUCAGAAAGUUUUGUUUUGAAGAUGACAAAAGUUGCCAGUCGAUUUACAUAACACCCUAAGUGAUAUCAUAACAGGAGCUUGUCAUUUAGAUCAUUUGUUUCAAUAAUCCAAAUCACCCCUGUAAAGUUCUGAUUGCUACUGAUGCUAUUAACAUAAAAUUGAAUCUGAAUAUUGGCCGCGUUAUGUUUAAUUCUCUCAUCAAACCUACGAUUAAUAAAAAAGGGAAGAAAGAGCUGGUGAAAAUGAU